rnacentral:rRNA from 1 species
UACGAGGGGGGCGAGCGUUGUUCGGAAUUAUUGGGCGUAAAGGGUGCGUAGGCGGUUUUGUAAGUCUUAUGUGAAAUCUAUGGGCUCAACUCAUAGACUGCAUGAGAAACUGCAGGGCUUGAGUAUGGGAGAGGUGAGUGGAAUUCCUGGUGUAGCGGUGAAAUGCGUAGAGAUGUGGAGGAACACCGAUGGCGAAGGCAGCCUCCUGGGCCAAUACUGACGCUCAUGCACGAAAGCGUGGGGAGCAAACAGG